GAAAAAGAAGAGUGGCGAACGGGUGAGUAACACGUGGGUAACCUGCCCAUCAGAAGGGGAUAACACUUGGAAACAGGUGCUAAUACCGUAUAACAAUCAAAACCGCAUGGUUUUGAUUUGAAAGGCGCUUUCGGGUGUCGCUGAUGGAUGGACCCGCGGUGCAUUAGCUAGUUGGUGAGGUAACGGCUCACCAAGGCCACGAUGCAUAGCCGACCUGAGAGGGUGAUCGGCCACAUUGGGACUGAGACACGGCCCAAACUCCUACGGGAGGCAGCAGUAGGGAAUCUUCGGCAAUGGACGAAAGUCUGACCGAGCAACGCCGCGUGAGUGAAGAAGGUUUUCGGAUCGUAAAACUCUGUUGUUAGAGGAGAACAAGGAUGAGAGUAACUGUUCAUCCCUUGACGGUAUCUAACCAGAAAGCCACGGCUAACUACGUGCCAGCAGCCGCGGUAAUACGUAGGUGGCAAGCGUUGUCCGGAUUUAUUGGGCGUAAAGCGAGCGCAGGCGGUUUCUUAAGUCUGAUGUGAAAGCCCCCGGCUCAACCGGGGAGGGUCAUUGGAAACUGGGAGACUUGAGUGCAGAAGAGGAGAGUGGAAUUCCAUGUGUAGCGGUGAAAUGCGUAGAUAUAUGGAGGAACACCAGUGGCGAAGGCGGCUCUCUGGUCUGUAACUGAC
rnacentral:rRNA from 1 species